GGCGGACGGGUGAGUAAAGCGUGGGAACGUGCCCUUCUCUGCGGAAUAGGCUCGGGAAACUGGGUUUAUUACCGCAUACGCCCUUCGGGGAAAGAUUUAUCGGAGAAGGAACGGCCCGCGUUAGAUUAGGUAGUUGGUGGGGUAAUGGCACUACCAAGCCUACGAUAUAUAGCUGGUUUGAGAGGAUGAUCAGCCACACUGGGACUGAGACACGGCCCAGACUCCUACGGGAGGCAGCAGUGAGGAAUCUUGGACAAUGGGGAAACCCUGAUACAGCCAUGCCGCGUGAGCGAUGAAGGCCUUAGGGUUGUAAAGCUCUUUCAGUCGUGAAGAUAACUGACGGUAGCGACAGAAGAAGCCCCGGCUAACUCCGUGCCAGCAGACGCGGUAAUACGGAGGGGGCUAGCGUUGUUCGGAAUUACUGGGCGUAAAGCGCGCGUAGGCGGACUAUUAAUCAGGCGGUGAAAUCCCGGGGCUCAACCCCGGAACUGCCUUUGAUACUGGUAGUCUAGAGUUCGAGAGAGGUGAGUGGAAUUCCGAGUGUAGAGGAGAAAUUCGUAGAUAUUCGGAGGAACACCAGUGGCGAAGGCGGCUCA
rnacentral:rRNA from 1 species